rnacentral:tRNA from 1 species
UCCCUUGUAGCUCAGUUGGUAAAGAAUCUGCCUACAGUGCAGGACGCCCAGGUUCGAUCCCUGGGUCGGGAG